AUGCUCCGUGUGGGGGUUCGAGGUCAGAGUUCCUCUACUGCUGAUUUGCGUCGGCGGUGCCAAGAGAUCCAACUGGGAAAGCAUCCUGUUGAUUGUGUUGUUGGUGAGUACACGUGGGUUUGGCUUCUUGCCUUGCUUGAUUCGGAUUGGGUUGUCCCGGUCUUUCUUUUAUUUCUUUUAUUUAAUAAGUUAUCUGUUUCUUCCCUUAUUGUAGCUGAUUCUUUAUAUGGCUUUCAUUCUUCACAUGGUGUGGACUCUGAUGUUUCCUUGCCUAACUCUUUGGCUAAGUUCUCUGGUAUUGCUUAUCUAUAA
rnacentral:rRNA from 1 species